UUCCACCGGAACCUUUUUUUUUUUUUUUUCCAAACAGAAAAAACAGGUUUUUCUCUAAUGCCCUUUACGUCCUCCAGGGGUGCAUGCUGAAAUAAGAACUGACUUCUCCCAGGCUGUAGCAGUGUAGCAGAGAAAGGUGGUUAAAUUGGGAGGGGGGAGCUGGGGUGUUUCUUGGAGAAAGAAAAUGAUUUCAAAGAGACUGGAGUUUUGAUUAGGGAUGUGGAAGAAUAGCUACUAGAGAAGAGAUGAAAUUAGAAGAGGAAUUAACAUCGAGAAGGAAGGAGAGAGGCUCCAAAGACUGCAAAGCAUGAACUACAUGAGGGUAUUUCAUUUCUGAGCAAAGAAAUGCAGAAGCUAUGCAACGGUUUCCGGAUGCCACAGCCAGCACUCAGGUCACCUCUCCCCGAUCCUGAAGCCAUUUACCGAGGCUGUCAGCCCCCAGCUGCUGAAAUGGUCGGCACCUUUGCAGAGGGACAGCCAGGAGGUUUGGCCCUUACCAGGAGAACACGAUACCUGCUUAUUUCCAUCCCUGGCGCCCGACUGCAACGUCCACGCAGAAAUGACGUUAAACCCCUUGACCACGGUGCAGGCAGGGAACAGGGAAGCCAAGUACUCGGCGUUGGAUUCUUUGUGGUGGUUGAUUUCAGUGUUGUUGCUGACAUCCACCAGUAUCUUGCCAGCCAGCACAUCAGCCAGGUCGCAGAGCGUGGAGUAAUGUUCCCUGAAAACUGCCACAAAAAUGACAUCUGUCUUCUUCACCGCAUCAGCUUGGAAGGUGACUUCUGCCGCAGAGGGGAAGAGGCCGGCUUUGCGCUUUGGGUUGCGGCUCCCGACCACCACCUUGAACCCGGAGCAGACGAGGCGGAUGGCCAACGACCGUGCGAAAUCCCCGCUCCCCAGCACCCCGAUGGUGCGGCCUGCCGCAGGCGUGACGCUGUGGUCCCCCUCCACGCUGCGAUGGCCCAGGAGGGGUUUGGCCAUGUCUCCUCCUGACAUCCUGGCAGGAAAAAAAAUAGGAAAUGCAAGUUUAUUCUGAAGCUCUUGCAGAGCUCCUGACUACAACCGUGGUCACGGAGAAAACGCUACUUAUGCCACCCAACUAGAAGUGCACUUGGCCUUGGGUGAGGAGGGAAUCCCCUGGAGCCUGCAAACAGAUGUAGCCUAAGACCCAUCUGCUAAACCCGUCAGGCAGAUGUGCAGUAAUGUACAACCACCAUUGGAGGGGGACACCACCACGCUGAGUCGGAGGCGAAGGGAUUCAGGAACAGGUUUCCCCAGUCAGCCUGUGUGGGAUCAAAAACCUACGGCUACGCUCAUCUGUCCUUUGAUGUUCUCCAUACUUGCACCUCACACUGCAAAGCCAGGGCGAUCCUAGCAGCUAUUAGGAAAGGCAACUCUCAGAGCCCCCCAGAGCCGCCAGUUAUCUUCUGAAAAGCCCAGGGCCAUGAGUUCAAGGAGAUCUCUCAGCCCACAUUUGGGAGAGCCACAGGGAUGGUUUUUAUUCACAGGAGCAGAGUCAAGGCAGGGAGUUUUAGGUGAAAUGAAAGUGUUCUCAAAGUGGUAAAUGAAGAGAGUUGCAGCCUUUGCCUGCUCCAGUACGUAGGUCUGGCAAGCACUGUUUACUUCAGCUCUUCAACGGGUAAUGAGAAUUUACUCGUGACAUUUAAAAAUAUAUUAAAACAUGAUGGGAUUUGCUCAUGAAAGAUCUUGAUGAGCUUUACAAACAUUAAUGAAUUUUGCCCUGUAACACUCGCUCUCCUAACAGAUCAGAUAUUGAGGCCAAGAAGAGGUUUUAAGCAAAUCAAUAAAUUGAACGGUGGCACAUCAGCAGACCCCCAAGGUCAAAAGGAACUCAAUCAGGGAACUGUCAAGCUAUUCAUGUGGUUUGCCACCUAUCACUCAAAUCAGCCUUGGGGCUUAAAGAAUGGAAGAUGUCAACAGUGACACCAGAUUUUUAAAGGACUCAGGAGGUGGUCCAGGGAACUUACCCACCAGAACAUCUGGCUUUUGAUUCAGGCACAUUGGUAGAAAUAGUAAUAUAGACCAGAAUUACCAGACUCAUGAUAUACCUGGGCAAGAGACAACUUGGUGUCAGCAGAGUACAAUCUUGCCUUAUAGCUAUAUUGAGUUCUUUAAAAGCGAAGAUGACCACUCAGGCGAGGUGACCCAGCAACUGAGGUAGGCUUGGCUUCUCAUAGGCUUUUGGAAAUGUCCUCCACCCAAGGCUUUUAUGGAAUUGAAACAAUAAUGGUGCAAAGAGGAAGGGCACUUCUGCAUGAAUAGUUACCAAUGGGAAACAAAGGGUAAGAAUAAAUAGGUAACAUUCAUAAUGGGAACGAGAUAUCAAGGGAUUUCCCCAAGGGUCUGUGUUGUUCAGCAUAGUCAUAAGUGAUCUGAGAAAGGGAGUGAAUACCGAUAAGAUUGAGUUUGUGGGUGAUAAUUGUCCACAAUGGUCUUUAUUGUGAAGAAUUUGCAGAAGGGUCUCCUCAUUCAAAGUGUCCAAGCACCAAAAUUCACUGUUGACAUGCAAAGUGAUGCAUAUGGGCAGAAAAAAACCUCUGGCUACAUGUACUAUACAUACACUUUAAUGGGCUGUAAAUUUGUUUAAAUCACUCAGAAAAGGGAUCUGAGAGUCACAGUUCUCUGAAAACACCAGCUCAGUGCUCAGCGACAGAAAGGAAGCAAAUAGAUCAUGAGUUAUCAGAAGGAGAAUAUUUCUUACAAAAAAACAGCCACUACCAACUCUGAUCUUUCAGUGCUGAUCCUCAUGGAAAGCCUGCAAAACACCUUCAGAAGACGGACCCGGGAACUAUAAAUCACUGUUCUCCUGGAUACUAGAAGUUAUGGGUUCAGUGACAAUACUGUUUUUACGGCACAGGUCUAUCUUCUUCUUGCCUCACACCUAGCACCUCCCUGUCCCCAAGAUACGUGUACAUGGAAGAAGUACUCUCAGAAAAGAAAACAAGUGUUAAAGAAAGGGAGGCUGGCUUUUCUCCUUUAAUAACUUUCCUCCUGCUCCCCAGAUAGCAGGUAGACUUCCUCUCAUGGUUCACAUGAGUAAGAGAGUUGUGGUAAACUCAGAAUAACUCGCGUUUCACUCUGCAGGUUUCUGCUUCUCCUCCAGAGCUGCAGCAGGGUUUGUGUGCCUAAAAGCUUUUUUGUUUACGGAGACUGUGCCAGUCGGUCUAAUAAAGGCUAUUCCCUACGCACCCCCACCUGCCUUAGCACAUUCCACGGGUAUCAGUCACCCAGGAAUCACUGGGAAAGGCACACGGGACAACAGAGAAAACGUUAUUAUGCCAUGGUAUAAAUGCGUGCAUUGAACAUCACACUGAGUUCUGCUCACCCCGCUGCAGAAAGGGAGAAUAAAACUCGAAAAGGGUUAUAGGGAAGGAGUGAGAAAGAAGACAAGGACUGUUCAGCUUGAAGAAGAAACAGUUAGGAGAGGAAGGAGAGGAGUUUGCCUGGGAUUUCUCUAACUGAAGAGCAACCUCUCACGUGGACCUCAACCGACACCAACCUUGUGCCUGAUCCGGGAACGCCGGGGAGCAACACGGCAGGACCAGCCUCCUCCACCACCGCACGUGCCACACAGCCCCUUCCAUAAACUAAGCCAGCUCCAUCGGAAAAGACGUUGGUGGUUUUUAUUCUGUCCCUUCUUAUAGGACACUUUAUCAAAGCUCACUGCUUUGCUUUAUGGAAACUUUCUUGCUCCACCUGAAUUUAUUCCUGGCCAACUUACACCCAGUUGUUCUAAGGUCAACACUAUUGUUUAGCUUAACUAGCUUUCGUUCCUACACCAUCCCCUCAACGACACGUCUGCACAAAAUGUUUUUCUGAAAUAGAGAGACGCAUCUCUGGCUCUUAGCCAAGGGGAGGAGAGAAAUCAACAUUCAGGGUGACCAAGCAGUUGCUACCUAGAGACUCAUUUCAUGAUCAAUCUGAAGCACCUCAAAAGCUCUCUCUGUGUUCCCAAAGGGACGGCAAGUUCUGCUGCAAGCAAAUUGGCUGUAGCGUGUUUUUUCGGUCCUGUAACUGCCACUUAAAAUGUGCAGAGAUGUUUGCAGUGUUUGGAGAUAAAUGGCUUCGCUGUCUCCAGUUAUUUUGAUUAAAAAGAAAAGGAUGACAGAAUUAAAUGGCCCUUGAAGUCACCAGAAUAGUUAAAAAGUAAAAAUCCUCAAAAUGUUUUCUAAAGGUAGGUGUGGAUUUCAGGGCUGCUAUUUUAGUUGUACUUAGGCUGGAAGGACUUUGGGGCCGGGCCCCAGUGCACAGCACUUGGGUCAGCAGCAGUUUGAUCCCUACCGCAGUUUCCUAGAGUUGCGGCAAGUCACGCUCACCUCACUGUCCAAGCGUUCAAACUGGAGGAGUAAAACUGAACUCAUGUUUACGAGCCUUUAUUAUACUUAACAUGGCAAUACUGCUUUUUCUACACAUAUGAACAAUGCGUUACCUGCUUAAAACUCUCCCUCCCAAAGCUAAUUCUUUGCAGCAAGGUCAGCCCCAUGAAAAGUCAACAUACAGCAUCUUGGCCAGGUUGUUUGGAGUCAACCAGAGGCAGUGGAGGCCAAGAAUGCAAUGAGUAUGGCAGAGGACAGACACGUCUUUAGGCUGCUGCAGCUCUGUAGCUCAUUUAUUGAUCUCCCCUAUCAAAGAAAUCAUGCCUUUGCUGAGUUAUGGCAUGUGAAAUUCAAGGAGAUCAGGGUCUAACCAAGGAAACUACAAGACGAUUUAAAACACAGGCCAGUGGAAGUAAGCUAGCUUCAAUCCAAACCAGGAAGCAGUUCUGUAAUUAAAAUAUCUAAUACAAUGUAAAGCUUCCCCUCAGCUGGACUAUUAAUGAUACCUGUACAUCAGUGCAUGGGGAUGCCAGGUCCGGACCUAGCGUGUUUGUCACCGCGUGCAGUUCACCUAUUGCAUUUCAGUUGCUGCUAUCAUUCGCAGUACCAAAGCAGCGCUGGGCCGUGAGCGCGACGGGGAGCUCCCUUCCGCCAGGCACUGCCCCAAAGCGCGACAGAAAGCCGCUCCUGCCCCAAGGAACGGGAUCAGGCAGACAAAAACUGGAUGAAAGCAAGCAGCCCAAUCUCUGUCACCCAGGCAGAGGGAAGGCUGGGCACUCACGGAAGCAAAGCACGGAUAACUCUAGCUCUUCUGCACCGGAGGCUUGGCAGACGCUGUCAGCGUGGGCUCCGUGCCAGGCGACACGGUCGUUCUGCCUCCGCGCCCCGGCCGAGCUGCCUGGCUGAGGUUUCGCAGCCUUCCCGUGCGGCGCGAGCCAGCGCGGGUGUCUGCGCGCUCAGUCCGCAAAGCAGAUAGUCCCCCGGCUGCGGGGAAGCUGGCUGAGCCGCACCGCUUCCGGCGGGCACGGGGCCGGGGGUACCGACGGUAACGGGACUGCAGCACGUCUGCCUGCGCACACCCACAAACCCUCGGCCACCUCUUUAACAUCAAGACCCUCCUUUCAGGACCCUUUCACUUACUCUGGGGAUGGUUCCUGUAACUGCAGUUCUGGGGAGGUACCUGUGGCGGCAAGAAAUGGGAUUCACUUCAGUUUGGACAAAAAAAAUCAAGAGCUGUUUCACUGCCUUGAUACGAGGCCUUAUCACACAGAAGACAACUCAGUUGUACGAUAACCCUCUCUAACAUCGCUGAGCCAAAGCGUGCCACAGCAAACGGCGGCAACCUGCUAAGGGGCUCCAAGCUACGGUAUUUAGGGUGCAACGAAAGCGGUUCCCACCUGAACCAAAGCCCAUCUUUGCGCUCAGCCUCACGCAGCGAGCAUGAGCCAGCAGCACCCCGGCUAAACCACGGCUUUGGUCUCGUCCACUGCUUUAUCUACAUCCCCUAAUGAGCAGCUGGGCUGAAAAACCAAGAGCAGCGGGAGGAGCCAAAGGAUGGAGGAGAGCCCUCGGACGGGUCACCGCAGAGGACCUUCCCGCUCUCCGCACUGAGAUGAUCCCCGUCACCUCCGCGGGGCCACGGGCAUGGGACGCCGUGGCUGGUGCCCGCCCCCACGCAACGGGGUCCUGCACGCACCGUGGACGGGGCGAUCUCCGCCCCAGGGUGAUUUUCAGUUUGCCCGGACGGACCUUUGUACCUCCCGCGCUGACUGCGGAGCCAAAGCCCCACGAUUUCUGUUUGCAGAGCCUUGUUUUUCGUGCCGUGCCCUCCGGCAGCUCACGCACGAAGCCGCCCCAGCUCAAAAGCAGCCUUCGGCACCCAGUGUUGCCACCCGGGUUCUGCCGUUUUACCUCGUGGGCAGAAAUACUCCCUUUUCAGCUACAGUCGUUUUGCUCCCAGUGAAAACACGGAAUUUAAGUCUCUCCCAACCCCACCAGAGUCCCUCCAAAGAGCACAGCCAGCACCGUGUACCUGCUGAGACUGGAACAGAUUUAGAUUAAAAAAAGGGCUUAUCCGAAGCUGGUUUAACGCCAGCUCCGCUACACGUUUCAGGAAUCCUUUCGGUCCUGCCCAGGGUGACUGGAAAUCACGCCGCUGAUCUGCGGCAGCUCUCGGAAAGGGGAACGAGCCGGGGAAAACCAGGCUUGCAAGCUCCUGCCCUCCUCCUCCUCCCGAAGCAGGCUGGGAUAACCCCAGCAGCGCAAACCAGGAACCGGCAAAGGGAAUAAAUCAACUGCCUCUGUUCCUUCGGCCAGGAAAGCGAUGUUGAAAACCUACCGGGACGCCAGCCAGGCCGGCGGAGGGAGGCAACGCCAGGAGGGAGGUCACCCGCGCCGCCUUCCCGCGGCCCGUCGCGUACGCGUCUCAGGCGGCCCCUAACCACACGCGGCUCGAUCCCUCCCCACGCCGGGAAGGCAGCGCUGGCUGGGGCACAGGGAGGCUUUGUAUGAGCAAAACCCAGUUUUUUCCUCGGGGCUCUUAUUUCCUGAGCGUCUGACUCCUCCGCCUCUCCACCUAGCCCAUGUUUUUCCUGGAGGAUGAGCAGAACCGAAUUUUCCAAUCCCGGCCCUCGUAAGCACCAACCGCUCCUCCAGCUUGUGUUUAUACACCCCAGCAUGCUGUUUGCCUUUGCACAACCGCGUGACACUGUGGGCCCACGGUCACCGUGUGAUCCCCAUAACCCCGCGUCGUCUCCGGCAAAACCACUGCCUUGGCCGUCCAUCCCUCACCCGUGCAGCCCCGCGGGACGGCACUCACGCGUGCCCGGUUUUUUAGACCGUCUCUCCGAUUUGCCACAAUUGUUAAGUCUUCUUCUCACCUCUAAAAUGGUUCCAGCUCCGUUUCACCUACAAAUUUAGUCGCUGCCUCCCUCUUUCAUCAUCUAUUGCUGCAAACGCGGACCGAGCAGGCGCUGACCCUCCCCUCUCGGGACUCCCUCCAGUUUAAACACUGAUAACUGCUGAGGAUGUUUUCUGAAGCUAGCGGUGAAGCCAAAGGCAUGUCCCUGACCACAGGACAUUCUCCACCACCACCAAAAUCCGAGAACAUGUUUUGAAACAGGGGGAGAGCGGAGGAGAGGAGGUUACCAGAACCUUCCACAGCCUGUUUUUCCCACACUUUCUCAGACAUUUUGGCUACAGCUUUCCUACAGAAAUACCUCAGCGCGUAGGCACCCGGCAUGGACAACUUCCCCUCCCAAGGUUAAACAGACAACAUUAAUGCUGAGCAGAAAAAUCACCCACCUGCAACACGGGCCGUGACUUAACCGAACUGGAAAACAAACUUUUGGCCUAAGGGUUUUCACCAAAACCAUGUACCUUUAAGCGCGAUUGCCAACAGGUUCUGCCACAGGGAUCCUCCAGCUCGGCUCUCCCAGGUCUCCAAAGGCCAGUUGCACCCUGGCCGCGCGACCAGGCUCGGGAAAGGCGAAAGCCUCCCCUGCUAGCAGCACUUCCCGGCCUCCACGGCGAAGGAAACCUUUGAAGAGCUUCACCUGCUGUUGUGUGAAAACAGCAUCACCGGCCGCGGGGUUUGCUGACGGUGCUUCUUGGGUUGAUACAACAACGAAAGGCCUGAAAAGGCUCUGCCUGGUCAUCAGACGUUAUAACGUGGGAAAAUCUGGGAAGCAAAUGCCUGGUGUUUUCACUGUAAGACCGCAGAGAGAGCAGACCGAAACAAGGCAGGAUUUUGGCGCAGCAGCGUUUAUGCAGACAAACAGCACAUGUAACUCCAUCUGCCUGAUGCUACCCGGGAUAACAAGGUUAUUUUCCCAGCUUAUCAUCUCACAGUUCUUAAGAGACGCAGACGGAGAGCUUAAAACAACUUUAGGUGCUGAAACCAAAGUCCCGCAUGGCUUUCGGUUUCUGUUGUGGUCUUAAUUCGCCUGCUGCUCUCACCACCUUAACGACUAUCUAAGAGUGACUCACCCAUUUUUCAGCUUUUCCCCCACUGGAAAUGCAGAAAGAGCAGGUGGGCAGCCAAAAGCUGGGCUGCUACAACCUUUUUGGGUGGAUCUAAUAAUACCCUGCAGCUAGACACGAUCGCAGGGGGUACUUUCCUUCCUGAAACAAGCAGGAGAAAAUCUCUUCUGCUUUUCUACAGGCAGAUGGUGUUGGGCCUCGGGCGACUGGCAGCCCGCGGUCGGUUAGGAGCUUGAGGGACUUUGGAGACAGUGAAACUGGACUCGAGCAGUCACUGCCGGGCUCUGACACACAACGGCUGCUGAAAGGCUGCUUCUUUCCAGGAAAGACGCGGAGGACUUGCACUGCGUGCACACGGCGAUAUUUGGAUUGGCCAUUCCCACGCAUGCAGCGCUUGUUUGAAGGCUCUCCAAGACCAGCAGGCCCUCGCAUUUUAGGUUUUGCCUCUCACGGGGACUCCAGAGCUUGUGCAGGACCACACGGGGGGAGAAGAUGGCCCAAGAGGCCAGUGGGGGCUGAGGGAAGAUAAAACCUACCGCUGA